GACGAACGCUGGCGGCGUGCUUAACACAUGCGAGUCGAACGGAAAGGCCCUGCUUGCCGGGUACUCGAGUGGCGAACGGGUGAGUAACACGUGGGUGAUCUGCCCUGCACUUCGGGAUAAGCCUGGGAAACUGGGUCUAAUACCGGAUAGGAGCCAUUUUUAGUGUGAUGGUUGGAAAGUUUUUUCGGUGUUGGAUGAGCUAGCGGCCUAUCAGCUUGUUGGGGGGGUAAUGGCCUACCAAGGCGGCGACGGGUAGCCGGCCUGAGAGGGUGGACGGCCACAUUGGGACUGAGAUACGGCCCAGGCGCCUACGGGUGGCAGCUGUGGGGAAGAUUGCUCAAUGGGCGCAGGCCUGAUGCAGCGACGCCGCGUGGGGGAUGACGGUCUUGGGGUUGUAAACUCCUUUCGCUAGGGACGAAGCUUUUUGUGACGGUACCUAGAGAAGAAGCACCGGCUAACUACGUG
rnacentral:rRNA from 1 species